CCGCUCGUGGCUCAGCGAGGCCAGAGCGGCGGGCUGGGAACUCGAGGCGGCCUUCGAGCGGCGGGUGCA
rnacentral:tRNA from 1 species